GCCGGGCAGAGGAGCCGCGGGGGGCCGGGCUCAGUCCUGUGCUGCUGUCAGGGCUGCGUGGGCCGGGAGGAGCACCCAGGUGCGCCGCACAGGUGUGCCGUAGGCGAUGAUGAGGGGUGUGGGCUCACAGCUCACACUGCUGCUCCAUAAAUAGGGCGGCGACAGCGCUGGCUGUUUAUCUCUACGGCCAGUUUUUUCGGCUUUAACUCUGCAGCCUGCCUAGGAGGGGUGGGGAUUCUCGACUUGCUCCUGUAAAGCGGCCCGAAGCCCCCGGGACUGCCCGCAGCACGAGGAGUUGGGGUGUUAAGGUACUUGGCAGUCAUCCCUAUGAACAAUAGGGUCUAGUAAAUCUUUACCACUAUGUGCAUACCAAGAUUCUUUGCAUCCUGUUUGAAUUUAUUCCAAAAUUAGCCAAAACACCAGUGAAGACAGAACUCAAACAGCGCUGCCCAGCAAAGAAUCCACUCACAGUACUGAAUGACACAGAGCAAAGAUUUUCAGUGAAACAAGAUGGAUACUCAACAGUACAGAAGCCAUUGGGGUAAUGAUCUUUCACAUAAGCUCUCAGUGCACUGUCACAGGCAUCUCUCCAUUGUUUUAAAGCUGAUUCUGUGUCCUCAGGCUGGGGGUCGCUAGCUUCUUUCCUUAGGUGAUCAAACUUAAAAGAGAUUUUGUUUCUUGGGUCUAAAAAUCUGCCAUUGCCCAGAUCACCGUGUUCUGUGAUUAAGACCUGAUCAUCAUACCCUUCUAUCUUCACCGGAGUGAACUGAUCCAUGUUAUACUGUGCAAAUGCAUGUGCUGCUCCUUCCCUGAGAAGAUUGUCAUUGUUGAGCAAUAACCGGACAUCAUUGAAUACUUCAUUGAAUUCUCCAGGAGGAGCAUGAGUGAUGAAUUUUGCAGCUAUACGCACCUUCUCCUCGUCGGACACCCGGUCCUCAAAGUCGGCCAUUUU
rnacentral:lncRNA from 1 species